rnacentral:rRNA from 1 species
GACGGAGGGUGCAAGCGUUAUCCGGAAUUAUUGGGCGUAAAGCGUCCGCAGGUGGCCCUUCAAGUCUGUCGUCAAAGACUGGGGCUUAACCCUGGAAAGGCGGUGGAAACUGGAGCGCUGGAGUGUGGUAGGGGUAGAGGGAAUUCCCGGUGUAGCGGUGAAAUGCGUAGAGAUCGGGAAGAACAUCGGUGGCGAAGGCGCUCUACUGGACCACAACUGACACUCAGGGACGAAAGCUAGGGGAGCGAAUGGG